AUGAAUCUCCUAGCUUGGAACUGUCGAGGCUUGGGGUUGGACUCGACAGUGGGUGAACUUCGGGACCUGAUACGGUCACACAACCCAGUGGUGGUCUUUCUUUGUGAAACAAAAAAGUCAGCAAAAGCUAUGGAGAGAUUAAAGUGGAGAUUGGAUUUCAGGACUGGAGUUGCGGUGGAUUGCAAUGGAAGGAGUGGUGGUUUAGCUCUAUCAUGGAGGGAGCACAUCCAGGUCACUGUGAGGCCUUGGUGCCAAUACUUUCUUGAUGCGGAGGUAGCGUGA
rnacentral:rRNA from 1 species